GAUGAAGAACGUAGCGAAAUGAGAUACGUAAUGUGAAUUGCAGAAUUCAGUGAAUCAUCGAAUCUUUGAACGCACAUUGCGCCUGCCAGCACGCUGGCAGGCAUGCCUGUUCGAGCGUCAUUUCAACCAUCAAGCCCUAGGCUUGCGUUGGAGCCCUGCGGCUGCCGCAGGCCCCUAAAAGCAGUGGCGGGCUCGCUAUCACACCGAGUGCAGUAGAUUACUCUUCGCUCAGGGCGUGUGGCGGGUUCCAGCCGUGAAACCCCCUACUUCUCAAGGUUGACCUCGGAUCAGGUAGGAAUACCCGCUGAACUUAAGCAUAUCAAUAAGCGGAGGA
rnacentral:misc_RNA from 1 species